UCUCCUCUCUCCAAGUCCCUUUAUGGAGAAACGCCAUCAGGUGACUUUGAAGUGCCCAAAAAUUCCUGCUAUACUGAAAAUAUAAUCAGAGGAUAGUUAUGAUCCGGAGCAGGUGUUUAUUCUUUGAAGGAGGAAGCGGACACUAUUGCUGCUGCGGUACAGUCUUUUGUUCUUAAUUACAAAAAAAACAA